rnacentral:rRNA from 1 species
CUCAGCAGCUAGCUCUCUCUGAAACUCUCACAUGGUCGCCCACUGAAUCUAAGCAGGGUUGUGCCUUGUUAGUACUUGGAUGGAAAAAGCCAUUGGAAAACUAUGAUGAUGUUGAAA